UUCAGCUCCCACCAGUAGGAGAGUAUAAUGUUUGAAAUAUAUAUUUGCCCUAAUCUAUAAAUUCAUUACAAACAUUGCAUGAUACUAUUGACAAUAAUUUUUUCAAUUCACAGGUCCAGUUUCAUAAAGACGGCCAUUUUAUUCACUAUAACAUGUUCAACCAUCAUUUUUUUUGAAAAAGACCCUGCAAUGGUUUGUUUUAAGAAGUUCUUAUACAAUUCUAUACCCAAUUCUCUGAUGGUUAUUUUGGAUCCACCUUUUGGUGGGUUGGUUCAAGUACUGCCAGUAUCCCUAAAAAACUUUGGAAGCUUGUUUUUGAAUUAUGUGAAAGAAGGAGAUGAUUACCAUUUAUCUUGCUUGUCAACUUUCUGGAUUUUCCCGUACUUUAUGGAAUCACACAUUACCAAAGAAUCACCAUUCUUUAAGAUGUGCGAUUUUAAGCAUAACAAUGUUUGGCAGCAUUGUCUUAUUUGUGGGAAAUGUGUAAAGAAAGUUUAACAAGAGGAUGUCAUAUUUGUGGAGAUUUUGGUCACAAAAGGAAAGCUUGCCCACGAAGACACACUAAAAUGAAUUCAAAUCAGAAAAAAAGAUUCCAUGAUGGCAAACAAAUCACUGAAUGUAAUAAAAUCAGGAAAAGAGAACAUUGAUGGACAAGAACUAUUACUUGAUGUUUCAUACAUCUUAAAGAAACAUGACAGUGAAUCCUGUCUGUCUCCUUAAUUUAAAAUUUAAGGCUUGAUCAAGUCUUCUAAUGUCAACGUACAAGAUAGAAAAGGAUCUGAAAGAUGGAGAUAAGUGAUGUAUGGAAGUGAAAUAUAUUUAUCUUUUCAUCCAAAUUCAUUAAUUAAAAGUUUGGCAAAUCUUAUACAUCUGCCCUUAUACUUAUAAAAGCAAUUAUUUGCACACAAGAAUACCCAGAGGUUAUGUAGGUGUUGACAGUUUGUUGAGUUCAUUGGGUUUUGAAAAGUCUUAUGGCUAUACUGUGACUGUACAAUGCAUGACAGACUGGUAAACAUGAUCUGGGUUUGCAUAAUUGUUGAAGAUAAGUGGUGGUGGGGAAAAUUUAUUGGAGAGAGGAUAGAAAGUCAAGGUUGUGAGCAUUAUCUGUAACAUUGUAUGUAAAUAUGCUUUCUAAAAACAUUCUUGGUUUACUUUAUGUCAAACCUUCACUUAUAUCAUUCACCCUCCACUUCUUAGCUUCUUAGCUCAAACUUAACACGUGACUUAUUUUGACCAAUUACAUUUGGUAGUUGGCACUAAAUUUGCCGAUCCUUCACGCGCCAUGUUUAAAAUAAUUUCUUCCUGACACACUCUUUAUCGUAAGUAUUAUGUACAAUAUUGCAAUAUUUGUCGAAUAAAUAAGAUUUAUAGCAUCAAAGUGAACUUAACUUGUCAAAAACACUACUAUUUGUCUUGAAAGUAUUGAAAAAGUCUUCCACGAACUCAGCAAACCUGUUGUCGAUUUGUCAAAGCAAAGAGUCUCACGGCUUGCCUUCUUUGGUACAAGGAUAUUCACUUCAUCAAUCAAGAAGAAUGUUGAAGCUUGAAGUCAGAAAGAGUGGAUACACAGGUGUUUGUGGUGGUGAUAGUCGUACAUCGAGUCUCAAGAAAGAAUCGUUGUAAAGAAAGAACUCUUUGGAAUCACCUGUGUACGAUACAUACAUAAUAAAGCAUGUUACAUCUAAACAGCCCAACCAAAAGGUGAACAGAAAACAACGACAGCAAGUGCAAUGGCAGAACAACGA